rnacentral:rRNA from 1 species
UAGCGGAGGAAAAGAAACUAACAAGGAUUCCCCUAGUAGCGGCGAGCGAAGCGGGAAGAGCUCAAAUUUAUAAUCUGGCACCUUCGGUGUCCGAGUUGUAAUCUCUAGAAGUGUUUUCCGCGUUGGACCGCACACAAGUCUGUUGGAAUACAGCGGCAUAGUGGUGAAACCCCCGUAUAUGGUGCGGACGCCCAGCGCUUUGUGAUACACUUUCAAUGAGUCGAGUUGUUUGGGAAUGCAGCUCAAAUUGGGUGGUAAAUUCCAUCUAAAGCUAAAUAUUGGCGAGAGACCGAUAGCGAACAAGUACCGUGAGGGAAAGAUGAAAAGCACUUUGGAAAGAGAGUUAACAGUACGUGAAAUUGUUGGAAGGGAAACGCUUGAAGUCAGACUUGCUUGCCGGAGCUUGCUUCGGUUUGCAGGCCAGCAUCAGUUUUCCGGGGUGGAUAAUGACGGUUUGAAGGUAGCAGUCUCGGCUGUGUUAUAGCUUUCCGUUGGAUACAUCCUGGGGGACUGAGGAACGCAGCGUGCUUUUUGCGAAAGACUCGU